rnacentral:rRNA from 1 species
AAUCAACGCUGGCGGCGUGCCUCAGACAUGCAAGUCGAACGCGAAAGUUUCCUUCGGGGAACAAGUAGAGUGGCGCACGGGUGAGUAACACGUAGGUAAUCUACCUUUGGAUGGGGAAUAACAAUCGGAAACGGUUGCUAAUACCGCAUAAUGCAGCGGCACCUAAUGGUGACAGUUGUUAAAGCGGGGGAUCGAAAGACCUCGCGUCUGAAGAGGAGCCUGCGGCGGAUUAGCUAGUUGGUAAGGUAAUGGCUUACCAAGGCUACGAUCCGUAACCGGCCUGAGAGGGCGGUCGGUCACACUGACACUGACAUACGGGUCAGACUCCUACGGGAGGCAGCAGUCGGGAAUUUUGGGCAAUGGGCGAAAGCCUGACCCAGCAACGCCGCGUGAAGGAUGAAAUCCCUCGGGAUGUAAACUUCGCAAGAACGGGAAGAAUAAGCGAGAGUUAAUAUCUCUCGUGAUGACGGUUACCGUUUGUAAGCUCCGGCUAACUCCGUGCCAGCCGCCGCU